GGGGGGGGGGGGGGUCUGAGACUUAAAACCCCAAUACACACCUUAUAAACCUAUUCUAUAACCUAAAUACCUAUAUAAAGUUGACAAACGAAAAAAAUUGAUCUUUAUAACAAAAUCCCUUAAGUUGAUAAAAAUUAACAGCUAAAAUCAUUAGAUCUAGAAUCCAAUUAACUAAUUGACAUUGAAUAACUCAAGAAUCGCAAUCAUCCCACACCCAAUUCAUAACAAACAUGAAUCCACAGGCAGAUCUGCAGCACAUAAAAGUCCUUUACCAUAAAAUAAUUACCUGUGAGCAAAUCCUGGUGGACCAACAUGAUUGAAGAGUUUUAGCACUAGGGUCGGGUCGCUCCGAAAACGGUGAAGAAUGGGUUCAAGAGACCGAGGGUUCACAAUGGGACGACAGAGAGGGAAAGAAGGAACGUGCAGCGGCGAACAUAAAUAGGCCGAGGGUUUGACAGGAGAAGUGGGUCGACAGUCGACUUGAUUAAAUUACCGUAGUAGUCAGAACUUUUCCCAAAUUGGCAUUUGUGUCCUCUCCAAUACUGUUGCCGGGCUUUUACUGUUGGGCCUU
rnacentral:lncRNA from 1 species